rnacentral:rRNA from 1 species
UACGUAGGCAGCGAGCGUUGUUCGGAGUUACUGGGCGUAAAGGGUGUGUAGGCGGUUUUCUAAGUUUGGUGUGAAAUCUCCCGGCUCAACCGGGAGGGUGCGCCGAAAACUGGGAGACUAGAGUGCGGGAUGGGAGAGUAGAAUUCCUGGUGUAGCGGUGAAAUGCGUAGAUAUCAGGAGGAAUACCGGUGGUGUAGACGGCUCCUCGU